AGGCGUCACAAGCGUCUCAAGGGUUCGAAUCCCUUACCUUCCGUAAAGGCGCUUAAAUUGGUUUUACCCAUUUUAA
rnacentral:tRNA from 1 species